AACGAACGCUGGCGGCAGGCCUAAUACAUGCAAGUCGAACGCACCGCAAGGUGAGUGGCAGACGGGUGAGUAACGCGUGGGAAUCUUCCUUGCAGUACGGAAUAACUCCGGGAAACCGGUGCUAAUACCGUAUACGUCCUUCGGGAGAAAGAUUUAUCGCUGCAAGAUGAGCCCGCGUCGGAUUAGCUAGUUGGUGGGGUAAAGGCCUACCAAGGCUACGAUCCGUAGCUGGUCUGAGAGGAUGAUCAGCCACACUGGGACUGAGACACGGCCCAGACUCCUACGGGAGGCAGCAGUAGGGAAUAUUGGACAAUGGGCGCAAGCCUGAUCCGGCCAUGCCGCGUGAGUGAAGAAGGCCUUAGGGUUGUAAAGCUCUUUUGGCGGGGAAGAUAAUGACGGUACCCGCAGAAUAAGCUCCGGCUAACUUCGUGCCAGCCGCCGCUGUAA
rnacentral:rRNA from 1 species